rnacentral:tRNA from 1 species
ACCUGGCUGGCUCAGUGGGUAGAGUAUGAGACUCUUAAUCUCAGGGUUGUAAGACUGAGCCCCAUGUUGGGUG